GCUUACGGCCAUACCACCCUGAGCGCGCCCGAUCUCGUCUGAUCUCGGAAGCUAAGCAGGGUCGGGCCUGGUUACUGUAGGACUGGGCCAACGGCCUACGGAACUACGGGGGAUUAGGGCUGUGGGAAUACCAGGUGCUGUAAGCU
rnacentral:rRNA from 1 species